GUUCGUUCUUAUCACUAUCUUCAAUUCACAAACAUUUAGUUUCUAACUUUAUCACCAUCACCAUACAAUUCACAAACAUCAAGUUUCGAACAUUAAUUGUAUUACAAUCGUACAAUUAGCAAAUAUCAAGUUUCAAGGAUAUAUUACAUUCGUAAAAUUAGCAAACAUCAAAUUUCAAGCAUAUAUUACAUCCGUAAAAUUAGCAAACAUCAAAUUUCCAACGCUUAUCAUUAUCAUGUGUUUUUUUGUGUCUUUGUAAGUUGUAAUCUGUAACAAAUCCUUUGCCACAAAUACUACAGUGUCGAAGAUUUCCAGAAUGUCUUUUCGAAUGAGUUCGUAGGUUAUGUUUCCUAUUAAACUGUUUACCGCAUACAUCACAUUUAUGCAUACCAUCACCAGUGUGUAAUUUCAUGUGCAACCCUAGAGUGUCUUUACUACACAACCCUUGACCAACACUGCACCUUAUAAGGUUUGUCAUCAUUAUGUGUAUAAGUUCUUACUGGUUUAUCUAAUCUAUGUGUAUGAGUUCUUAUGUGUCUCUCCAAGGCAUGUUUCUGACCAAAUCCUUUGCCACAUGCCCUGCAAGUGUACGGUUUAUCCCCAUUGUGUGUUCUCAUUUCAUGCUUUUGUAAGUAUUUUUCUAAUCUGAAACUUUUACCACAUGACUGACAGUGAUAAGGUUUCUCACCCGUUGUAAUGACAAAUGUCUCUUUAAAUCAUCUUUUCACCAUAACUUUUACCACACAUAUCACAUUUAUAAUUUUAUCAUCAGUAUGUGAUAUCAUAUGUCUUUUCAACACCUUGACUUUCGCUGAACACUUUACCACACAGAUCACAUUGAUACGGUUUUUCUCCAGUAUGUGUUCUCAUGUGUGUUUUUAAGAAAAACGAUAACUUAAACUCCUUUCCACAAAACUCACACUUGUGUGGUUUCUCGUCACUGUGUUGUCUCAUGUGUUUCUGUAAGUAGUAGGAAUCAUGAAAUCGUUUACCACAUAUAUUGCACUGUCUAGCUUUAUGAUUUCUUGUGUGUUUCUGAAAUUGCAGUUUACUUUUAAAUCCUAGUCCACACACAUCACACAGAUAAGAUAUGAAAUCAGCGUGUGUGCUCAUGUGUGAUUCAAAUAAAUCACUUCGAUCAAACCCUAAACCACAUAAAACACAAUUAUAAGGUCUAUCAACGUGUGUUCUCGUGUGGUCCUGUAGGUGUUGUUUGUCUGUAAAUUUUUCACCACACACAGCACAUGUGUAUGGUUUUUUAAUGAUAUGUGUUCUUAUUGGAAGCUGUACGUGUGGAGUGAACAUGGUAAACUUUUCAUCACAUAAAAUAUAUGUAUGUGGUUUAUAAACAAUGUGUGUCUCCUGGUGGUCUUUUAGGUGUUGUAUGUCAGUAAAAAUUUUACCGCACACAUUACAUGUGUGGGGUUUAUUAAUAAUAUGUUUUCUUGUGUGCUCUUGCAAGUCCUCUUUCUUAGUAAACGAUUCAUUGCAUACAAUACAUGCAUGUAGUUUAUUGAACACUAUGUGUUCUCAUGUGUUCCUGCAUAUGAUCAUUAGUUGUAAACUUUUCACCACACACAGUACAUGUGUGAGGUUUGUCAACAAUAUGGGUGUUUAUGUGUUCCUCCAAGUGCUCUUUCUUAGUGAACUUUUCAUGACAUACAGUACAUGUAUGAGGCUUAUAGAUAAUAUGUAUUCUCAUGUGAGUAGUAAGUUCCUUUUUCUUAGUAAACUUUUCAUGACAUACAACACACGUGUGAGUUUCAUUAACAAUAUGUAUUCUCAUGUGAUUAGUAAGUUCCUUUUUCUUAGUAAACUUUUCAUGACAUACAACACACAUGUGAUUGUUAACAAUAUGGAUCUCAUGUGAUUCUGUAAGUGUUCUUUCUCACGUAUCUUUCAUCUUUAUAAGCGUCUGAUUCUGUAAGGUUUAUAAGCAAUAUGUGUUCUCAUGUGAUUCUGUAAGUGUUCUUUCUCAUCUCUUUAUCUGGAGGUUUAAGCAAAUGUGUUCUCAUGUGACAUUCUGUAAGUGUUCUUUCUCAGUCAUCUUUCAUCUGGAGUUUAUAAGCAAUAUGUGUUCUCAUGUGACUCUGUAAUUGUGUUCUUCUCAGUUAUCUUUUCGUCUGGAGGUUUAUAGAGAUAUGGUUCUCAUGGUUCGUAGGUUCUUUCCAGUAUCUUUCGUCUGAGGUUAUAAGCAAUAUGUGUUCUCAUGUGAUUCUGUAAGUGUUCUUUCUCAGUCAUCUUUUCAUCUGGAGGUUUAUAAGCAAUAUGUGUUCUCAUGUGAUUCUGUAAGUGUUCUUUCUCAGUUAUCUUUUCAUCCGGAGGUUUAUAAGCAAUAUGUGUUCUCAUGUGUUUCUGAUAUUGUUCAGUAAUUCUAAAAAUUUUACCACACACAGCACAUGUGUAAGGUAUAUCAGCAAUAUGUUUUUUCCUGUGUUCCAGUAAAUGCUCUUUAGUAGUAAAUCUUUCACCACAUACAACACAUAUAUGAGGUUUCUUGACAAAAUGUAUUCUUAUAUGAUUCUGUAAGUGUUCUUUCUCUGUGAAACUUUCUUUACAAUGACCACAUACAUGAAAUGUCUGAGGUUUAUGAACAAUAACUAUUUUUGUGUCUUUUGAAGGUUUUACCUUCGGCUGAAUUCUCUGAUACAUACUGUAAAAUUGUACUUUAAUCACUUAUAUAAAUGUGCAUGUGUUCCUUUUAUUUGCCUUACUUCUUUCUCCACAACAGAAAUUUCUAAUCUAUAUGCUUCCCAUGUAAUGUCAUGAGCAUGACAUCUCAUGGGAUGACUGUGUUCAGUCCUCUGUAGUCUAGUCAAGAAAACUUCUAGUUUACAUAGCCUUAUUUAUAUUAAAUAUAGUCCAAUAUCAGACCUUUCACAUUGAUUUGUACUUCCAUCAGUUGAAAUAUUUUUAAUGAUAUAUAUAUUAUCCAAUAUCAAACCUUUUCGAAUUGGUUUGUACUUCCAUCAAACAACUGUUUUGUCAAUAUUAUACUUUUAUUUCUCUUUCUUUGUAUCUAUAAAUGGACAUCUUUAACUGGUCUGUUGACAAAUGGUGGGAUCUUUUACUGGUCUGUUGUCAAUUGGUGGCAUCUUUUACCGGUCUAUUGUCAAUUGGUAGUGUCAACCAUGGGUCUUAUUUCAUAACAUUCAGCUAACUAAUAAUUGAC
rnacentral:lncRNA from 1 species